CCUACGGGAGGCAGCAGUGGGGAAUAUUUGGCAAUGGGCGCAAGCCUGACCCAGCAACGCCGCGUGAAGGAAGAAGGCUUUCGGGUUGUAAACUUCUUUUGUCAGGGACGAGUAGAAGACGGUACCUGACGAAUAAGCCACGGCUAACUACGUGCCCACAGCCGCGGUAAUACGGAGGUGGCAAGCGUUUUCCGGAUUUACUGGGUGUAAAGGGCGUGUAGCCGGGUUGACAAGUCAGAUGUGAAAUCCUGCGGCUUAACCGCAGAACUGCAUUUGAAACUGUUGAUCUUGAGUACUGGAGAGGCAGACGGAAUUCCUAGUGUAGCGGUGAAAUGCGUAGAUAUUAGGAGGAACACCAGUGGCGAAGGCGGUCUGCUGGACAGCAACUGACGGUGAGGCGCGAAAGCGUGGGGAGCAAACAGGAUUAGAUACCCCAGUAGUC
rnacentral:rRNA from 1 species